GCCCAGAUGGCGGAGUGGUUAACGCGCCAGAUUGCUAAUCUGGACCCUUUGGGGUGCGUAGGUUCGAAUCCUGCUCUGGGCG
rnacentral:tRNA from 1 species